rnacentral:rRNA from 1 species
UACGUAGGGUGCGAGCGUUGUCCGGAAUUACUGGGCGUAAAGAGCUCGUAGGUGGUUUGUCGCGUUGUUCGUGAAAACUCACAGCUUAACUGUGGGCGUGCGGGCGAUACGGGGCAGACUGGAGUACUGCAGGGGAGACUGGAAUUCCUGGUGUAGCGGUGGAAUGCGCAGAUAUCAGGAGGAACACCGGUGGCGAAGGCGGGUCUCUGGGCAGUGAACUGACGCUGGAGGAGCGAAAGCGUGGGGAGCGAACAGGA